UUGGACACUGGCAGAGAUAACUGUGCC
rnacentral:piRNA from 1 species